rnacentral:rRNA from 1 species
GACGUAACACGUAUGCCAACCUACCUCAACAGGAGAAUAACCCGGCGAAAGUCGGACUAAUACUCCAUAAUACAGGGAUCCCGCAUGGGAAUAUUUGUAAAGAUUUAUCGGUUGAAGAUGGGCAUGCGUUCCAUUAGCUAGUUGGUGAGGUAACGGCUCACCAAGGCAACGAUGGAUAGGGGAACUGAGAGGUUUAUCCCCCACACUGGUACUGAGACACGGACCAGACUCCUACGGGAGGCAGCAGUGAGGAAUAUUGGUCAAUGGAGGCAACUCUGAACCAGCCAACCGUCGCGUGAAGGAUGACGGCCCUACGGGCUGUAAACUUCUUUUGUAAGGGAAUAAAGUUUAGUACGUGUACUAUUUUGCAUGUACCUUACGAAUAAGGAUCGGCUAACUCCGUGCCAGCCGCCGC